UACGAAGGGGGCUAGCGUUGCUCGGAAUCACUGGGCGUAAAGGGUGCGUAGGCGGGUCUUUAAGUCAGGGGGGAAAUCCUGGAGCUCAACUCCAGAACUGCCUUUGAUACUGAAGAUCUUGAGUUCGGGAGAGGUGAGUGGAACUGCGAGUGUAGGGGUGAAAUUCGUAGAUAUUCGCAAGAACACCAGUGGCGAAGGCGGCUCACUGGCCCGAUACUGACGCUGAGGCACGAAAGCGUGGGGAGCAAACAGG
rnacentral:rRNA from 1 species